GACGAACGCUGGCGGCGUGCCUAAUACAUGCAAGUCGAGCGAGUCUGCCUUGAAGAUCGGAGUGCUUGCACUCUGUGAAACAAGAUACAGGCUAGCGGCGGACGGGUGAGUAACACGUGGGUAACCUGCCCAAGAGAUCGGGAUAACACCUGGAAACAGAUGCUAAUACCGGAUAACAACAGAUGAUGCCUAUCAACUGUUUAAAAGAUGGUUCUGCUAUCACUCUUGGAUGGACCUGCGGUGCAUUAGCUAGUUGGUAGGGUAACGGCCUACCAAG
rnacentral:rRNA from 1 species